GAUGAACGCUGACAGCAUGCUUAACACAUGCAAGUCGAUGGGGAAGUGGUGCUUUCACCAUGGCAACCAUGGCGGACGGGUGAGUAACGCGUAAGGGACUUACCUGCAGGACUGGGAUAACAGGGGGAAACUCCUGACAAGACCGGAUAAUGUCAUGGAGCUGCAUGGCUUUAUGAUGAAAGGAGACGCCUGCGGAGAGCCUUGCGUCCUAUUAGCUAGUUGGUGGGGUAAUGGCUCACCAAGGCGAAGAGAGGUAGCCCGCCUGAGGGGGUGGACGGCCACGAGGGGUACGGGAUGCCGCCCUUCCUACUUGGGGAAGCAGGGGGGGGGAAUAUUGGAGAAAGGGGGCAACCCUGAUGCAGCAAUUCGGUGUGCACGAAGAAGGUUUUCGGAUUGUAAAGUGCUGUCAGCAGGGAAGAAGUAAGUGACGGUACCUGCAGAAGAAGCGACGGCUAAAUACGUG
rnacentral:rRNA from 1 species